GUGUCAGCAGCCGCGGUAAUACGUAGGAUGCAAGCGUUGUCCGGAUUUACUGGGCGUAAAGCGCGCGCAGGCGGCAUACCAAGUAUUCAGUGAAAUCUCCCUGCUCAACGGGGAGGGUGCUGAGUAGACUGGUAAGCUAGAGGACGGUAGAGGGGGGUAGAAUUGCUGGUGUAGCGGUGAAAUGCGUAGAGAUCAGCAGGAAUACCCGUGGCGAAGGCGGCCCCCUGGGCCGUUUCUGACGCUGAGGCGCGAAGGCUAGGGGAGCGAACGGGAUUAGAAACCCUGGUAGUCC
rnacentral:rRNA from 1 species